CCACCACUCCCUCUCUCUUCGUCAACCUCUCGGUCUAUCCUCCCGCCGUCUGGUGCCACCCACGACUGGGGCGGCGGCUAGCAGCAGGGCCUUGGGGGAAGGUGACACCGGCGGGGAUGCGGUAGCUGGGAGGCGAGAGACAGCUGUUGGUGGUACCUGCAACUGGGGAACCUGCUCGGUCUGGGCUUGGCGACGGCAAGGACGCGCAUCACCACCAUCCCAGAUGAUCCAUGUCGCAUCUCCUCUUCCACCUACCAUCCUUCUCCACCUAAGUGUUGGUGUGAGUUCUUGGCCGUGUGGCGACCAACAGCAAUCAACAGCAAGUAGGCGGAUCAAGAUCCGUCCAGCCACAAGCAAUUGCCGACCGGUGAAAAAGUUGAUUUGUUUGUGUGCAGAACCGUGUUAUGCUAUGCAUGUCACCCACAAAUGAAUCACUAUAUUUACAAUUUCUUUUUCUGGUUAUUUACCGGAUGAAUUUUAUUUUGAUUUAGCACUCCAAUCCGUCAAGUUUGUUAUCGGUUUGUUUGUUGCAUGGCCAAACAUUAGUUUAAUUUAUAAAAUGGAUUGCGGGUUCAUCCGAUAGAUUUUGGCAUAUAUUUCAAUGACCUACCAUGUAUUCGAACUAUAAAUGUAAAAAGAUAUAUGUUAUAGGUAAUCUCAUCAUUCCCGUGUCAAGAGGUGAGUUCAAUCAAAUCCAUUCCAUUUAGUCUCUCUAACCAAGCAUCUAAAUGGAACUGUUCUGUAUUCCACAUAAUUGUCUAUUCCAAACACAGGAACGCAACCGACCGGUUCAAGUGGAAUGGAACAUCUUUUCAACAACAUUGGCCUGCUUAAUCUUUACGGGCACCGUAGUAGAUUAUAAUUGUAUCUAUUCCCCCCUCUCUAUAUACUCCCAAGGAUUCUUGACGAUGUGCGGUAAGACGUCUGCUAUCAAUCAAAUUUGGAAUUCUUGAGAAGGAACCCCUCCCACUGGAGUUGUGGCAUCCACGCACAUGAGGUGCAACUGUGCCAUGGUGGCAUGGCUUUGGAGCAGGAGCUAUGCUUGCUGCCACCGCGAGAUAUUCACGCACAUCCACAUAUGCGCCAUCCGUACACAUGAGGUGCAUCUGUCCCAUGGUGUCCUCGCUUUAGAGCUGGAGCUGUGCUUGCUACUUCCGCGAGAUAUUCAUGCACAUCCACAUAUGUGCCUGACCUUGCCGCCUCUGCCUGAUGUGAUGCGAUUUUGGCACAUGCAAUGCUGAAGAGGCACGUGACAAUUUCCAUUUGCCUAUGCUUUCUUUUACUAUUCUUUUCUUUUCAUACAUGUUCAUUACGCUUGGUUACGACAAUGAGAUAUCAUCUAAGGAAUGAUUAAUCAUCAAGAGGUG